UCCUGGAGGCCAAGAACCUGAGGAGCAUGGACCUUGGAGGAAGCUCAGAUCCGUAUGCGAAGGUGCAGCUGACUCUGGACAAGAGGAAGU